AUUAUAAGCAUUAUAUGGCAUAAUAUAUAUGAUACAUAUGAUACUUUAAAAAAGGUUUAGUCUAGUUAUAUACACAUACAAACAUACACAUUGUUUUAUGUACAUUUAGCUCGAGUUCUACUAAAUACUCACUUGAACUUACUGUUUACAGAAUUUUUGUAUAGUCUAUUUAUUAUUGCCAAGUCGUUCAGAAAGUAUAUUUAAUAAACCCGAGUGUAAAUAAUACAAAUUUAUAUUAUUGAAAUUGAAAUCAUUCAAGUUAAGGCAAAGAGUCCCAGGAACUGGCCGAGACCAUGCUACUAAAGAUUAUCCAAGUACUCACCGCAAUCCUCGAACGGCAACGAGCGCAACGAUAAUAUCUUCUUAUAUACAUUUUCUGGGUUGAGCUUUAUGACACUGGCGAUCGAUUCGUUAAUAAUCAAAAAAGCCCAGAGUAUUUUUAGGUAGUAAACAAAACAGCCGCGCAUGGCUUAAUCGAUUGUGGUACAAGAUCGUUUUGAUUAGAAUAUAUGGUACACUGUUGGACUGGGCCCGCAAAUUGAUUAAGAUAAUAACAAAGACUCACGAUAAUGCUGCGGUAGUUUAAUCAGACACGC